CAGUCGAGCGGAACGAGUUAUCUGAACCUUCGGGGAACGAUAACGGCGUCGAGCGGCGGACGGGUGAGUAAUGCCUAGGAAAUUGCCCUGGUGUGGGGGAUAACCAUUGGAAACGAUGGCUAAUACCGCAUAAUACCUACGGGUCAAAGAGGGGGACCUUCGGGCCUCUCGCGUCAGGAUAUGCCUAGGUGGGAUUAGCUAGUUGGUGAGGUAAUGGCUCACCAAGGCGACGAUCCCUAGCUGGUCUGAGAGGAUGAUCAGCCACACUGGAACUGAGACACGGUCCAGACUCCUACGGGAGGCAGCAGUGGGGAAUAUUGCACAAUGGGCGCAAGCCUGAUGCAGCCAUGCCGCGUGUGUGAAGAAGGCCUUCGGGUUGUAAAGCACUUUCAGUCGUGAGGAAGGUAGUGUAGUUAAUAGCUGCAUUAUUUGACGUUAGCGACAGAAGAAGCACCGGCUAACUCCGUGCCAGCAG
rnacentral:rRNA from 2 species